AGGGCAGUCGCUUACCGGUGAAGUUUUCGCCUCAUAUGCGGAAAGACCAGGGUUCGACUCUCGGCUGCUUUG
rnacentral:tRNA from 1 species